GACAGAGGGGGCUAGCGUUGUCCGGAAUCAUUGGGCGUAAAGAGCGUGUAGGCGGUCCGGUAAGUCCGCUGUGAAAGUCGGGGGCUCAACCCUCGAAUGCCGGUGGAUACUGUCGGGCUAGAGUGCGGAAGAGGCGAGUGGAAUUCCUGGUGUAGCGGUGAAAUGCGCAGAUAUCAGGAGGAACACCGAUGGCGAAGGCAGCUCGCUGGGACGGUACUGACGCUGAGACGCGAAAGCGUGGGGAGCAAACAGG
rnacentral:rRNA from 1 species